rnacentral:tRNA from 2 species
UAGGGAAUAGUAUAAUUGGUAGAACGACAAACUCAUGUUUUGUAAGUGCAGGUUCAAGUCCUGUUUCCCUCA